AUGAACGCUGGCGGCGUGCCUAAUCCAUGCAAGUCGAGCGAACAGACGAGGAGCUUGCUCCUCUGACGUUAGCGGCGGACGGGGGAGUAACACGUGGAUAACCUACCUAUAAGACUGGGAUAACUUCGGGAAACCGGAGCUAAUACCGGAUAAUAUAUUGAACCGCAUGGUUCAAUAGUGAAAGACGGUUUUGCUGUCACUUAUAGAUGGAUCCGCGCCGCAUUAGCUAGUUGGUGAGGUAACGGCUUACCAAGGCAACGAUGCGUAGCCGACCUGAGAGGGUGAUCGGCCACACUGGAACUGAGACACGGUCCAGACUCCUACGGGAGGCAGCAGUAGGGAAUCUUCCGCAAUGGGCGAAAGCCUGACGGAGCAACGCCGCGUGAGUGAUGAAGGUCUUCGGAUCGUAAAACUCUGUUAUUAGGGAAGAACAAAUGUGUAAGUAACUAUGCACGUCUUGACGGUACCUAAUCAGAAAGCCACGGCUAACUACGUG
rnacentral:rRNA from 1 species